rnacentral:lncRNA from 10 species
CAGAGAUUUUGUAGGGAAUAGGUGACAUGUUGUAUGGGAAAGCACAUUGUGUAUUGUAAAACUGCAUGCAGUAAUUAUAACGAUUUACUUUUAUUGACCCUGUAGUGCAUGCUAGAUAUUCUUCUCAGGGUUUCAUAUAGUACCUCAUUAAAUCCUCAUGGCGAACUUUGGAAAAGGUACUAUUAUUAUUUUCAUUGUACAUUUCAGUAACUUGAACAAGGUUACAGGACAAGUAGAAUAUGGCAGAGAUGGAAUUUGAACCCAAGCAAUCAAAUUCAAAAGACUAUACUCUAAAGCAAUGGCACUCAGGGAGUGAUCCAUCAGUGCCUGUGCACAACAAGGUCCACAACCUGGCAUUUAGUGGUAGGCCUGGAGCUGCUCUUGGUCAACAGUGUCAGAAGUUGGGAAGAAGAGCUGCAUAUCAAGCAGAAGAGAAUGAGAAGAAACAGGAACCCACUUCUGCAUCUGUCUAUAGCAACAUCUGACUAUAACGACCUUCAAAAGAUAAUGGCUGUUGCUUCAUUUCCAACCCUCCAAAUCUCAAGUAGCCUUGUGAUUACAUUGGGCUUACCCAGAUCCAGAUCAUCUAGGAUAAUCUCUCUACCCAAGAUCUUUAAUGUAAUCACACCUGCAAAGUCCCUUUUGGGAAGAAAGGUAAUAUAUUCAUAGUUUCUGGAGAUUAGGCCUUUCCAGGCAAAGAGGUGGAAAUCUUUGUGGGGCCAUUUUUCUGCCUCCUACACAAGGUAAAGGAUAUUAUGAGUGAAGCUGUGGUGAGCAUGCAUGAACAAGUCUCUUGCGAACAUAGGUUUUUAUUUCAUUUAGUGGUGGACGUGCUGAGCUGGACAGUAAAUAUGUUUAGCUUUAUGAUAAACUGCCAAAUAGUUUUCCAAAAUGGUUGCUCCAUGUUACAUGCUCACUAACACUAUUUGACAUUUCAUUGACUCCUUAUCUUUUUCAAUACUCAAUAUUGUCAAACUUUCAAAUUUUAGCCAUUUAGUGGGUAAGGAGUAGUGUCUCAACUGUGGUUUUAAUUUGUAUUUUCUUGAUGACUAAUAUGUUGAGCAUCUUUUCCCAUGAUAACUGAUUACACAUAUAUAUUUUUGUGUGAAGUAUGUGUUCAACAUUUAUGCCCAUUUUCAUUGUUUUUUGUUGUCUUGUUAAACUGUAAGAAUGUGUGUGUGUGUGUGUGUGUGUGUGUGUGUGUGUAACAAGUGUUUUUUUAGAUAUAUAUUUUUUGAAUAUUGCCUCAAAGUCUUGGGCUUCUCUUUUUCUUAACUGAAUAUCUUUCUAUGAGCAAAACUUUAAACAUUUGGUGUAAUUUUUCAUUUUUUUCUAUUAUUGUGAGUAUAGUGCGUAGCAUACCAUCAUGAUGAUGAUUUUUUCCUAUCCUCCCACAAUCUGUUUUGUAUUUUAGCUUUUACAUUUAGUCCUGUGAUCCAUUCUGAGUCAGUUUUUGUGUACGGCCUGAUGUAAGGGUGAAGGCCCAUUUCUUUUCCAUAGUAAUACCCAGUUGUUUCAGUACUAUUUAUUGAAAUUACUGUAUUUCUCUUAUUGAUAUGCAUUGGCAACUCUGUAGAAAAUUAAUUAUAUUAUUGUACUUAGCAUUUUAAUAAUAUUUUAAAUCCUUUUGUUAAGUAUGUAUUGCUUAUAUUUUCUCUUUAUAUGUUUCUUUUGACUGUCUUUCUAAUACAUACCUAUUUAAUAAACAUGUCAAAA